GAUGAACGCUGGCGGCGUGCCUAAUACAUGCAAGUCGAGCGAACAGAUGAGGAGCUUGCUCCUCUGACGUUAGCGGCGGACGGGUGAGUAACACGUGGAUAACCUACCUAUAAGACUGGGAUAACUACGGGAAACCGGAGCUAAUACCGGAUAAUAUAUUGAACCGCAUGGUUCAAUAGUGAAAGACGGUUUUGCUGUCACUUAUAGAUGGAUCCGCGCCGCAUUAGCUAGUUGGUAAGGUAACGGCUUACCAAGGCAACGAUGCGUAGCCGACCUGAGAGGGUGAUCGGCCACCCUGGAACUGAGACGCGGUCCAGACGCCUGCGGGAGGCAGCAGUAGGGAAUCGUCCGCAAUGGUCGAGAGCCUGACGGAGCAACGCCGCGUGAGUGAUGAAGGUCUUCGGAUCGUAAAGCUCUGUUAUUAGGUAAGAACAGAUGUGUACGUAGCUAUGCACGUCUUGACGGUACCGAAUCAGAAAGCCACGGCUAACUACGUG
rnacentral:rRNA from 1 species